ensembl:piRNA 21ur-14475 ncRNA
UUAUUCUUUUAGAAGCAGAAU